ensembl:lncRNA
GUUUAUUUCCAAAUACAUUAUUUGAAAAGGACAUUAGGAAGCACUACAUUUCUGAAAGAGUGGCCAGGCACUGGACUGGGCUGCCCAGGGAGGUGGUUGAGUCACCGUCCCUGGAGGUGUUCAAGAAAUGUUUAGAUGUUGUGUUGAGAGACAUGGUUUAGUGGGGUUACUGGUGGUAGGUGGCUGGUUGAACCGGAUGAUAUUGUAGGUCAUUUUCAACCUAGCUAAUUCUAUGAUUCUAUGAAAAAGCACUCAUGCAGGAAAGAAACAGGGCUCUGUGUGGCAGAGCUCAGAGUGUGGUCACCAGUGGCACAGAGUCUGCCUGGAGACCUGUGACAAGUGGUGUUCCCCAGCGGUUGGUGCUGGGUCUGGUCUUGUUGAACAUCUUCAUUAAUGAGCUGGAUAAAGGGAUAGAGUCUACCCUCAGCAAGUCUGCUGAUGAUACAAAGCUGGGAGGAUUGGUUUAUACACAGGAAGGCUAUGCUAACAAUCAGCAAGAUCUGGGCAGACUGGAGAGUUGAUCAGGGAGGAAUGAGGUCGGUAAAAACGGUAGGGGGAUGCGUGCUGAUUGACAUGGUGAACAAAAGGAAGGGCAUCAAUCACAGGCGCGUGCUUGCUGAUGUAAUGCCUCGUGCUAGGCGGGUUAAAGGGGGGGGGGGUGAGUGCGUGAGUGAGUGAGUCGGGUGUGAUUGGGCAUGUGCAGCGGCUGUAUGGUUAUAAAAGACAGUGCAAAAGUUCCAGUAAAUGAAAGUUGACUCCACAGCAUCUGUGAUUGUGUCUCUCUCCCCGGGAUGGGAUCCUGGUUCUUUAGAGUCUAUUAAUUGUCGUGGUGACCCCAAAGUGACACAGCAACGUGAUCCGGGGCCGAAUAUGGCCGGAAUUGUGGUACGCACCAGUGCAAGCGGGGCUCAGGGUAAUCCAGCGGGAAUUGUGGUGCACCAGUGCAAGCGGGGCUCGGGGUAAUCCAGACUUCACCAUGUCAAUGGCAUCUGUGAAGGAUCUGUAUACUCCUUUUCAUCGGCAUAAUACCAGGAAAGCGAUUCUUACGCCAGCGCAGAUGGUGUUGUUUGAGAAUAAGUGGGAGCAGGAUGCGCUGGAUGGGGCGAUGCAUAAUGCCACGCUCCAGCUGGGUCAUGCCUUAGAGGCCGAGGAAGGAGACGGGGACGGCGCUUCAGCCCCGACGGGCCCAGUCCCUGCGGCUGGGGGGAGCGAGUGGCCCCCAGGGCCUGCCCACUGCGGGAUGGCUCUUGUGGUCUUGGCUGCCACUGGCGUGCUGAGGAGGGUGGCAGCCGGGAGCAGUGGAGCGGCGGGGCCCGGCUGAAGGCGCUGCUGGAAGACGCAACGUGUGGGCCUGCGGGCACACAGUGGGGGACUGCGGGAGGGCAGUGAGCUGGUGCUGUGGCUGCUGUGGAUGCUGUGCACCCUGUUGCUGCUGCUCCUUGUGUUGCAGUCAGGGUUACCUACCCUUCUUAUGAUUCCUCAACAUUAUGAACUUAGUGUUGUUGACCUCAAAGAUUGUUUUUUCACUAUUCCUCUUCACCCAGAUGAUUGUGACAGAUGCUUCGGGUUGCAACUCAAGGGCAGGUUACAUUUGGCUAGAUGAAAAUAAAACUUGGAGUUUUGUAACA